rnacentral:rRNA from 1 species
UACGUAGGUGGCAAGCGUUGUCCGGAAUUAUUGGGCGUAAGGCGCGCGUAGGCGGUUCUGCAAGUCAGUUGUGAAAACUAUGGGCUUAACCCAUAGCCUGCAAUUGAAACUGUGGGACUUGAGUGAAGUAGAGGUAGGUGGAAUUCCCGGUGUAGCGGUGAAAUGCGUAGAGAUCGGGAGGAACACCAGUGGCGAAGGCGGCCUACUGGGCUUUAACUGACGCUGAAGCACGAAAGCAUGGGUAGCAAACAGGAUUAGAUACCCUGGUAGUCCAUGCCGUAAACGAUGAUUACUAGGUGUGGGGGGUCUGACCCCUUCCGUGCCGGAGUUAACACAAUAAGUAAUCCACCUGGGGAGUACGACCGCAAGGUUGAA